UCUGGGACUUUCUAAUCAUUUGCAUUUAAAUUUCACGAUGAAAUCCGCGUCUUCAAACAGGCAUUGUGAAACAGGGACAAAGAGAAAUAAGCAUAAAUGAAAUUUCCAGCUGACCUUUUCUCAGGCUUGGGAGGGUCUUGGGAGCCAGGUUUUCAUGCAGGAGAAGGUACAAUCCAGACUAAAAUGGAGCAAGUUCUACCUGGGGAUUUUGUUAGAACCUUCCUAUUAAGAUACCCUUCUGGGCAGCGGACUUGGCCUAGUGGUUAGGGCAUCUG
rnacentral:lncRNA from 1 species